GACGAACGCUGGCGGCGUGCCUAAUACAUGCAAGUAGAACGCUGAAGAGAGGAGCUUACUCUUCUUGGAUGAGUUGCGAACGGGUGAGUAACGCGUAGGUAACCUGCCUUGUAGCGGGGGAUAACUAUUGGAAACGAUAGCUAAUACCGCAUAACAAUGGAUGACACAUGUCAUUUAUUUGAAAGGGGCAAUUGCUCCACUACAAGAUGGACCUGCGUUGUAUUAGCUAGUAGGUGAGGUAAUGGCUCACCUAGGCGACGAUACAUAGCCGACCUGAGAGGGUGAUCGGCCACACUGGGACUGAGACACGGCCCAGACUCCUACGGGAGGCAGCAGUAGGGAAUCUUCGGCAAUGGGGGCAACCCUGACCGAGCAACGCCGCGUGAGUGAAGAAGGUUUUCGGAUCGUAAAGCUCUGUUGUAAGCCAAGAACGGGUGUGAGAGUGGAAAGUUCACACUGUGACAGUAGCUUACCAGAAAGGGACGGCUAACUACGUG
rnacentral:rRNA from 1 species